rnacentral:rRNA from 1 species
GGUAUAGACCCGAAACCCGGUGAUCUAGCCAUGGGCAGGUUGAAGGUUGGGUAACACUAACUGGAGGACCGAACCGACUAAUGUUGAAAAAUUAGCGGAUGACUUGUGGCUGGGGGUGAAAGGCCAAUCAAACCGGGAGAUAGCUGGUUCUCCCCGAAAGCUAUUUAGGUAGCGCCUCGUGAACUCAUCUUCGGGGGUAGAGCACUGUUUCGGCUAGGGGGUCAUCCCGACUUACCAACCCGAUGCAAACUACGAAUACCGAAGAAUGUUAUCACGGGAGACACACGGCGGGUGCUAACGUCCGUCGUGAAGAGGGAAACAACCCAGACCGCCAGCUAAGGUCCCAAAGUCAUGGUUAAGUGGGAAACGAUGUGGGAAGGCACAGACAGCCAGGA